CUUUUUCGUUUUUUGUUCCUUUCCUUCGUCUUUGUGCUGUCCAAAAAAUGCUACACCUUUUGCAACUAUUUGUUGAUCCUUAUUUUUGUUUUGUCAGCAAUCUAUUCGAUGUGCAUGUGUAACUAAUUUCUCUGUUCUGCUGUUUAGUUUUUGCCAAAAAUGUGAAAAGGAAUUUUCAAGUAAUUUGCCCCUAUAGUGGUGUUUGUGUUACUAAAUUGUUGUUCCGCCCCUGUAGCUGUGUAAAAAUUGAAGAUUUUAUUACAUUUAGUAUUUGGCUUUGAUGGGGAUCAUUAUGGCAGACCCUUGGUGGUGUUGGGAAUCGAGGGGAAAGCUGUUAGGGAUAAUAAGAUUAUGGGUGAAAAGGAAUGGGAAGCUAGGGGAAUCAUCUAUUAAGUUCAUAAUUAUGCACACAAAAGCGAAAAAAGAUUUAGUAUUUUCAUGCUAAUUGUUUGAUUGGUUGAUGUUGUCGUUGAAUUUUGGUUACUCCAUCAAGCCUCCUGGGAUGGGGUGUCCAACUUGAGCCUCCACUUUGUUCUCCUUCGGAAGGAAUUGAUUUCCGCUCUUAUUCAAGCAAGACACCACAAUGAUUGUUUAGAUUGAUUACUUUGUUCAUGUUUAUUUUUUGGAAAAUGUUGUGAAUAACUUGAGAAGCAUAGGGCUUGGAAUGGGAAAGCUUGGCACGAUGAUUGUAGGCUUACACCAAUCAAUUGGAGCAUAAAGUGUUUCAAAUAAGUGGCUCAAAACAUAAAAGGUGGCAUUACUACUGGACAACACCGUUCCAGGUAGUCGGCAAGAACAAGGGGUGUAUAUAUGGUGAAGUGCUGAAGACAUAACAAUGGUUCCAUCGUCACUUUCAAACUAUAGUUUGCCGAAAAAAGUGGCUAGGUUUUUCUGUUCAAAAUGUUUAAGCUGAAUAUAAUAUCGACAUUAUAUGAUAUCAUGUUGAUGAGGAGUUGCUUUUUUAGAGGCCAGCAUAGGGAUUGCAGCAGUCUCUGUAGUAUUGCUCUAUUAGUUGAUAGAUAUAAUAUUUAGAUGAUUUUCCUCAAAAGUUCAAUUCUUUUAGUACCUUUGAAAUUUGAUUGUCAUUAUUGGUGGUGGUAGCCAUUUGUAAGUGAAACACACAAAGGGUGAUCCCAAAGUAUGUAAAUAGUCAUUGCAUCCUCAGCAGAGGGACAGAUUGGUGUUUUCAGACUCUUAUUUUGAUGAAUGUUGGUUAUGUUGUCUUUUGUAUCAUUGUAUGUCGUAAAACAGAACAUAAG